AACUGUACAGGGUGUACAGUGGCCAUGCCUCUCCUCGGAUCAGAGUAUAAAUUUAAUUCUGUCUCUGUUUGAUUCUUUGCCUUUUUGUCUUGUUUAAUAGAUGUCAUCAGUGUUUGAACCUGACAUCUUCUUGGUCCUUCGAGCCAGAUUCCAACACGUGUGACGAUUCCAGCAAGACUGAGUGAAACCAGAGACUAUGGCAUCCAAAUCCUGAUUGAGGAACUGCGUUUAUUCAUUUUGGCUGGAAUUGGACGACUGACGGAACACCGAUGACAAAAGGAAGGAACGCAGAGUUCAAGAGGAGUUGUACAGUCUAAUGGCGUGUGGGACAAAGGAGUUCUUGAGUCUAUUAGUCCUGCACUUGGGAUGAAGCAGUCUAGCACUGAACAGGCUCCUCUGGCUACUGAUAACGCUAUGCAGAGGGUGACUGGCAUCAUCCAGGAUGCUCACUAGUUUGUCCACCA